rnacentral:rRNA from 1 species
CCGAGUUUACAACUCCCAAACCCCUGUGAACAUACCUAUACGUUGCCUCGGCGGAUCAGCCCGCGCCCCGUAAAACGGGACGGCCCGCCCGAGGACCCUAAACUCUGUUUUUAGUGGAACUUCUGAGUAAAACAAACAAAUAAAUCAAAACUUUCAACAACGGAUCUCUUGGUUCUGGCAUCGAUGAAGAACGCAGCAAAAUGCGAUAAGUAAUGUGAAUUGCAGAAUUCAGUGAAUCAUCGAAUCUUUGAACGCACAUUGCGCCCGCCAGUAUUCUGGCGGGCAUGCCUGUUCGAGCGUCAUUUCAACCCUCAAGCUCAGCUUGGUGUUGGGACUCGCGGUAACCCGCGUUCCCCAAAUCGAUUGGCGGUCACGUCGAGCUUCCAUAGCGUAGUAAUCAUACACCUCGUUACUGGUAAUCGUCGCGGCCACGCCGUAAAACCCCAACUUCUGAAUGUUGACCUCGGAUCAGGUAGGAAUACCCGCUG